AUUGAACGCUGGCGGCAGGCCUAACACAUGCAAGUCGAGCGGCAGCGGAAAGUAGCUUGCUACUUUGCCGGCGAGCGGCGGACGGGUGAGUAAUGUCUGGGAAACUGCCUGAUGGAGGGGGAUAACUACUGGAAACGGUAGCUAAUACCGCAUAACGUCGCAAGACCAAAGAGGGGGACCGUCGGGCCUCUUGCCAUCAGAUGUGCCCAGAUGGGAUUAGCUAGUAGGUGGGGUAACGGCUCACCUAGGCGACGGUCCCUAGCUGGUCUGAGAGGAUGACCAGCCACACUGGAACUGAGACACGGUCCAGACUCCUACGGGAGGCAGCAGUGGGGAAUAUUGCACAAUGGGCGCAAGCCUGAUGCAGCCAUGCCGCGUGUAUGAAGAAGGCCUUCGGGUUGUAAAGUACUUUCAGCGGGGAGGAAGGUGUUGUGGUUAAUAACCACAGCAAUAGACGUUACCCGCAGAAGAAGCACCGGCUAACUCCGUGCCAGCCGCCGCGGUAA
rnacentral:rRNA from 1 species